UCCUAAUAUUUUAAAAAAUCUCGCUUCUACGCUUCCUUACGCUUCCGCUUCCACGUACCCGCUUCCGUUUCCAUGUAACAUAGGUAGAAAUUAACUUGGUCUAUGCAGUUGCAUAUUAAUCACAAACCAAUCGCACACGUCUUAUUUUUUGAAUAAUAGUACGAAAAAAAUUGGUUACCGACAAAAAAGGAAAAAGUCAAUCUGAUCCGAUUUAAAAUAGUUCAAGUGUAGUCAACCGUUAACCAAUAUCUCAUUUAAAUCCUUAUAUUAUAAGCUACCAGAUAAUUAAUAUAAAUGUUUACAUACAUUUUAUUUUUUUCCACUGAAAGAUAAGUAAUUUUUUUUUAUCAACUAAAGAUAAGUAAUUUAAAGAUUUAAAAAGACAUGACAAUUGCAUUACGUACGUUGCAUCUCAUCUCCCAACCAUUAAAUAAUUGAGACUGUUCUACCGUUCUAGUUCCGAAAUUCUAAAAAUACAUAUAUAUGUAUGUAUAAAUAUAUAUAUAUUAAUAUUAAUAUUUAAUUGUAGGAUUUCUUAAAUUUAAUGGAAAUCCAACCUAAAAUAUAUGGUUUCAAAUAUUUUGGAUUGAGUUUUCCGUAAAAUUAAACACCGUAAUUACAUAUAUAUAAUAUAUACAUAUAUACAUAUAUAUGUAUUUAUAUAACUCCAAAGCUACAACUCUCCAUUAAAAAUGUUCUUACUUUUUCCGUUUUAACGUGUAAUUACCGAAUCUUAAUAGCUGAACUGACCAAUAUUAUUGUUUUUACCGAAUCUUAAUGGUAACUACAGUUAGUUUGAAAAUUGUUUCAAAGAGUCCAACAUUUUUUUGAACUGGAUAUCAAGUUUAAUAUGUGUGCUACAUAGUUAUGAUUUUUAUAGUGUAUAUAUCAUAUAUAUCUCUACUCAUGUAAAAGUUUUCUUUAAGAAAAUUAAUUUUGAAGAUCACAAAGUUUGAAAUUCAGCGGUGAAAAGAUGAAUGAACCCGCAACCAUCAUCAUCCGUGACAACCUUUGGCGUCCUACAACACAUGCAAUAUAAUUAGUUUUUCUUCUUGGUCAUACAUUUCAUCAUUUGCAUGAUUCAUCACAAUAUGUGUAUUAGUUACUCUUCUCAGGUCAUUCUCUCUUUCAAAACGAAACUAGAAGCAGUAGUUACCGAGAUCUGACCCUACUAUUCUGCCCAGCAGGUUCCAUUUGCGUGGAAGAGGCGGAAUAAGAGCCAAGAUCUUUUGCUCCUGAGGGUUGGUGAGCCUACCUGUAAGGCUUCUGCAAGUCUUCGAGCCAUGGGUUCAGCUGGAGGAGUUUCUUGUCGACUCCUAGCAAAACUAGAGGGACUCUGGAGACUGGAAAUCUUCCCUAGAGGGAAUUCUUGCAAGCUAGAAUGAUAAGGCGCGAGAUGAUAGACAUAAUUCGAAACUUAUUGCAACUUGACCAGGCUUGAGAUUGGAUCCAGAGAUUGAGAAAACUCUUGCGGAGGUGAAGAAAUUUUCCUGGAGGACGCUUCUUUUAGUAAAAGACUAGGACUUUCACUUGGUUGCUUGUUAGCGUCCAAUGGAAGAAGAGAGUAGCCGCUUUCCAAGCAAGAACCGCUGGUCAGAAGGGAAUAUUCACCUCGAAAACGUGUCUGGGAGACCUUUGUAUGGUUUUCUAUUCAUAGAUGUAUUUCAUAUCAGUUAGAAAAAUAACAAAAUUUAGGAGUUUCCCUAAUAUAUGCUCAGUUGCUAUAAUAAUUUGUACUUCUACUCUAUGCCAUAAAAACGUUCAUAUUUUCUCAA